AGAGUUUGAUCCUGGCUCAGGAUGAACGCUAGCUACAGGCUUAACACAUGCAAGUCGAGGGGCAGCAUUAUCGGAGCUUGCUUUGAUAGAUGGCGACCGGCGCACGGGUGAGUAACGCGUAUCCAACCUUCCCCUUAGUAGAGGAUAGCCCGGCGAAAGUCGGAUUAAUACUCUAUGUUGUAUUUUGAGGACAUCUGACGAGUACCAAAGAUUUAUCGCUAAGGGAUGGGGAUGCGUCUGAUUAGCUUGUCGGCGGGGUAACGGCCCACCGAGGCGACGAUCAGUAGGGGUUCUGAGAGGAAGGUCCCCCACACUGGAACUGAGACACGGUCCAGACUCCUACGGGAGGCAGCAGUGAGGAAUAUUGGUCAAUGGGCGAGAGCCUGAACCAGCCAAGUAGCGUGCAGGAUGACGGCCCUAUGGGUUGUAAACUGCUUUUAUAUGAGGAUAAAGUUCGUUACGUGUAACGUUUUGCAGGUAUCAUAUGAAUAAGGACCGGCUAAUUCCGUGCCAGCAGCCGCGGUAAUACGGAAGGUCCGGGCGUUAUCCGGAUUUAUUGGGUUUAAAGGGAGCGCAGACGGUCAGUUAAGCGUGCAGUUAAAUGAUGUGGCUCAACCAUGUUAUGCUGCGCGAACUGGCUGACUUGAGUUCACGGAACGUGGGCGGAAUUUGUGGUGUAGCGGUGAAAUGCUUAGAUAUCACGAAGAACUCCGAUUGCGAAGGCAGCCCGCGGCAGUGUUACUGACGUUCAUGCUCGAAGGUGCGGGUAUCGAACAGGAUUAGAUACCCUGGUAGUCCGCACGGUAAACGAUGGAUGCUCGCUGUCGGCGAUACAUUGUCGGCGG
rnacentral:rRNA from 1 species